CCUACGGGCGGCAGCAGUGAGGAAUAUUGGUCAAUGGACAAGAGUCUGAACCAGCCAAGCAGCGUGCAGGAUGACUGCCCUAUGGGUUGUAAACUUCUUUUAUAUGGGAAUAAAAUGUUCCACGUGUGGGAUUUUGUAUGUACCAUAUGAAUAAGGAUCGGCUAACUCCGUGCCAGCAGCCGCGGUAAUACGGAGGAUCCGAGCGUUAUCCGGAUUUAUUGGGUUUAAAGGGAGCGUAGGUGGAUUGUUAAGUCAGUUGUGAAAGUUUGCGGCUCAACCGUAAAAUUGCAGUUGAUACUGGCAGUCUUGAGUACAGUAGAGGUGGGCGGAAUGCGUGGUGUAGCGGUGAAAUGCUUAGAGAUCACGAAGAACUCCGAUUGCGAAGGCAGCUCACUGGACUGCGACUGACACUGAGGCUCGAAAGUGUGGGGAUCAAACAGGAUUAGAUACCCUAGUAGUC
rnacentral:rRNA from 1 species